GAUGAACGCUGGCGGCGUGCCUAAUACAUGCAAGUCGAGCGAACGGACGAGAAGCUUGCUUCUCUGAUGUUAGCGGCGGACGGGUGAGUAACACGUGGAUAACCUACCUAUAAGACUGGGAUAACUUCGGGAAACCGUAGCUAAUACCGGAUAAUAUUUUGAACCGCAUGGUUCAAAAUUGAAAGACGGUCUUGCUGUCACUUAUAGAUGGAUCCGCGCUGCAUUAGCUAGUUGGUAAGGUAACGGCUUACCAAGGCAACGAUGCAUAGCCGACCUGAGAGGGUGAUCGGCCACACUGGAACUGAGACACGGUCCAGACUCCUACGGGAGGCAGCAGUAGGGAAUCUUCCGCAAUGGGCGAAAGCCUGACGGAGCAACGCCGCGUGAGUGAUGAAGGUCUUCGGAUCGUAAAACCCUGUUAUUAGGGAAGAACAUAUGCGUAAGUAACUGUGCACAUCUUGACGGUACCUAAUCAGAAAGCCACGGCUAACUACGUG
rnacentral:rRNA from 1 species